AAGAAACAAAAUUCGAAGAGAGUCAGAUGAUUUUCCAUUACAGUUUUUGUUGAUCGCUUUGGUACUAUUAUCUCAAGUAUGUGGUAAAACCAUACAAGUGUUAGUACAAAACUCAAAGCAGAUCCUUUUUCAAACAUGUACUCACAUGUUCAGUUCCAGACACUAAAAUUACACAACAACUUUUCCACCACACCUAAUCGGUGUUUAACACAAUGCAAUGCUCACAAUUCUUUUGAAAUCCUUCUCUUCUGAUUUGAGUAAAUACAUUUGACAAACAUUUAAUCCAUUUCUCAUUAUUUCUAAUUGAUUUCACAAAGUGGUAAUCACAAUUGGUCACUAUGUAUAAAAGUGAGGAUGUAAACAAUGGAAAUCUAUUUCAACAUGGAGCAGGAUAGACAGCAAGAAAUAGGAAGAGCUCGUGGACAAGGGAUCCGUCAGAGAGGCGGGCACGGACACCAACAGAGAGGUCAGAGAGGAGGGCACUGACACCAACAGAGUGGUGGGCAUGGGGCCCGUCAAAGGGUUGGUGAUCAGAGAGAAGGAGGCAGAACUGUUGUCUCUAAUGAGGUCCGGGCCAUCGUCGUUGAUCAUGUGGUGAACCGAGGCCUUACUAUGGCAGAGGCUGCAAGAUCAGUUGAUCUAAAUCUAAAAAGAUCAACUGUAAAUUCUAUCAUCCAAACUUUUCGUCAAGAAAACCGGCUUAGAAUUGACAGAAAACACCACAGUGGUGGCCGUGUGCUGACCGCCCAGCAGGAGUGGGCAGUGGUGGAAAUGGUGAGAGCCAAGAAUGAUAUACGGCUGUCAGAAAUACAGUUUUUGUUGAUCGCUUUGGUACUAUUAUCUCAAGCACGUGGUAAAACCUCACAACUGUUAGUACAAGACUCAAAGCACAUCAUUAAAUCAUGUACUCGCAUGUUCAGUUGACAAAGUACAAGACACAAAAUCACACAACAACCUUUUCAGUGUCAUCAAAAAUACAAUUCAUAUGAAGUACUUGUCUUUCACAAUGCAAUGCUCACAAUUCUUUUGAUAUGCUUCUCUUCUGAUUUGAGUAAAUGCAUUUGACCAACACUUAAUCCAACUGCUCUUAAUGGUUAAUCACUGAAUCGUUUGGUAAACCUUUACAUUUUGAAUUGGAUUGGUAGAUUACAUGUUACAGUAUGAUCUUUACUUUACUUUGUCAAUACAGUUUACUCUGUUCUAGGCUUAGAAUUGACAGAAAACCCCAUAGUGGUGGCCGUGUGCUGACCGCCCAGCAGGAGUAGGCAGUGGUGGAAAUGUUGAGAGCCAGGAAUUAUAUUCGGCUGUCAGAAAUAAAGCAGGCAAUUGAGGAGGAAAAUGACACCUUUGCCAAUGUGGCAUCCAUGAGCCUACCAACAAUAGGUCGCAUUUUGAAGGGGCACCAGGAAUCAACGAAGCACAUUUACCUGGUGCCUUUUGAGAGAAACAAUGACCGAGUAAAACACCUGAGGGCAGAGUAUGAUCAGCAGGUGACGGCGCUUGAUACUGGUGUGAACCAUCACAAGUACAUCUUUUUUGUUGAAGCGGGAUUUAACCUGGCCAAAACUCAUCGCCAUGGACGGAACAUCAUUGGCCAACAGGCCACUGACCGAGUGCCUGGACAACGUGGUGGAAACAUCUCCAUGUGCGCAGCCUGAAGAUGGUAUCAUAGGACGUCGGCCAUUACUUGGCUCCAGUAACGCUGCCCAUCUCAUAGAGUUUCUCAAUGAAAUUGAGCCGGCCUGUCAAGUUGAAGGGGUCACCUAUGUAAUUGUGUGGGACAAUGUUAGGUUCCAAGAUGCAGAGGUUGUUCAAUUAUGGUUUCAGCCACAUCCCAGCCUCAUGACCCUCUACCUGCCUCCAUAUUGUCCUUUCCUCAACCCGAUUGAGGAUUUUUUGGUGGAAGGUCUAUGAUCGCGCCACCCUCCUUCAGGCCAUGGAUGAGGCAUGUGAUGACAUCAGUGUAGACCAAUGUCAAGCAUGGAUUCGACAUGCCAAAAGUUUUUUUUCCAAGGUGCAUGAACAAUCAUGAAAUUCAUUGUGAUGUACACGAAAAUCUUUGGCCACAUGAUCAAGACAGGCUUGAUCCAAAUGAAUGAAAUGUGUGUGUACUACAUGUUAUGGUUUUUCUAUUAUUAAACGUAAAUCUAUGUUACAAUUAUAUCUGAAAAAUAAAAACAAAUUUGCCCAAAUGAUUGGAGAGGAUGUUUUCAUUGAUCCUCCCCUCAAUCAUAACACAUACAGUCAGAUUAUAGAUUCUGUAACAGUUGGGUAAAUUAAGUGUAUGUGUUAUGUGGACUGAAAAUACGUCCAACUGAAUAAAUACAUCAGGUUUUGAAAGAAUGACAAGAUGGGUUACAAGUGUGAUCCGUUUGCAUUUUUGUACUAAGAGUUUUGAAAGUACACCUUAUGAAAUAAGUACCAAAGCGAUCAACAAAAACUGUGUUAAACAUCCUCAAAUUGCAUGUUGACAUAACAAAAAUUCCUUCAGGAGGUUGAUUAUUUAUUUCCUUUGAGUCUGUGUCUUGAUAUUUAAAGUCAUAUGCGAUAUACACAAUAUCGAUGCUUU